AUACGGAGGGUGCGAGCGUUAAUCGGAAUUACUGGGCGUAAAGCGUACGUAGGCGGUUGGUUAAGUUAGAUGUGAAAGCCCCGGGCUUAACCUGGGAACUGCAUUUAAAACUGACGAACUAGAGUUGAGUGGAGGGGAGUGGAAUUUCAGGUGUAGCGGUGAAAUGCGUAGAGAUGUGAAGGAACACCAGUGGCGAAGGCGACUCCCUGGACUCGAACUGACGCUGAGGUACGAAAGCGUGGGUAGCAAACGGGAUUAGAAACCCUAGUAGUCC
rnacentral:rRNA from 1 species